UGCCUACGGGUGGCUGCAGUGGGGAAUCUUGGACAAUGGGGGAAACCCUGAUCCAGCGACGCCGCGUGACCGAUGAAGGCCUUCGGGUCGUAAAGGUCUUUCGACGGGGACAAUAGUGAUGGUACCCGUAUAAGAAGGAGCGGCUAACUACGUGCCAGCAGCCGCGGUAAUACGUAGGCUCCAAGCGUUGUUCGGAAUUACUGGGCGUAAAGCGAGUGUAGGCGGUCCGUCAAGUCGGUUGUGAAAUCUCCUGGCGCAACUGGGAGGGUGCGACCGAAACUGACGGACUAGAGUCUGGGAGAGGAGAGUGGAAUUCCUGGUGUAGCGGUGAAAUGCGUAGAUAUCAGGAGGAACACCGGUGGUGAAGACGGCUCUCUGGACCGGUACUGACGCUGAGACUCGAAAGCGUGGGGAGCAAACAGGAUUAGAUACCCCGGUAGUCC
rnacentral:rRNA from 1 species